GAGAAGGGUCUGUCUGCGGACUGCAAGACAGGGGCGUAACUUGAAGGGGGCGUAACUUGAAGGGGCGUAACUUGAAGUUGUCCAAAUCACACAGAACCACGCGAGAUGUCAAAACGAGAUGUUGUCGGGCUGCGUUCGAAACCGCAUACUUUCUUAGUUAAAAGCACUUACUUUCUUUAAGUACUUACUCACCGAGCGCUAUGAGAGUUUAUAGCCUGAAUGCGUUAAGUAUGAAUGCGAUUCGGAUAUCAUCCGCUGUGUUGACGUUAUCAUGUGACCUACGACGUUAUAACAAGCGCAACAACUUAAAAGAUAUGAGUGACAAGUUUAAUUCAUCUAUCUCGUUUGCAGUAUCUGCACAAAAGAUAUGUCGGGCAGCUGCUCGAAGAUCUCGCCUUUGGAGAAGACUGUUGAUUUUAUACUUUAAAAAUGUAAGUAUUACUACUUAAACAUUAAGAUUACCCCAGAAUGAAUU